rnacentral:lncRNA from 1 species
GUUCUGACCACCCACCAUGCCAGGCUAUUAACUUCUCCUGGAAGUUUCAACAGUAACCACAAUAGCAGUCCUCCUGCCUCCCGGCACUGCCCCCCACUCCACCCCUGCCCCUGCACUGCUCCCGCUCUAAGCAUUGCCUCCCUUCUCCUGGGCUUUCACCUUCCAGAUUAGGGGGAGGGUUAUCACUGUUAUCACCCCCUCUCCCAGAUAAGGAAAUUGACACCCAGAGAGGGAAAUGUGGGCGUCAAUUCGAGAUGUGGAGGCUGCCCUGAACAGUCCUGCCCAGAAUGUGCAUGAGUGAAUGGAACCUGACCCUCCUGACUCAUAUGAGAGAAGGUAUUUAUUAAUAGUACGCUCCCCCAUCCCCAAGUGGGCAUGGGGUUGGUGCACACGGAAGUAGUCCUCUGCAGGCCUGGUCCCCCCACCACCCCCACGCCCCAAAGGCCCACACUGAAUUCUAGGGAAAGCUGGGUUGGGCAGAGUCAAGCCAGGAAGGCAACCUGGAGGAGGUGCUGGAGUCGGAGCUGGCUGCCUCUCCCUUUCCAGAGGCCCUCUUUCUUGAGAGGGCUGACAUUUUUCCUCACCUGGUCAGGGCUGGGACAAGUAGGGUGAGGAUUCCUUCCUGUUUUCUGGGGUAGGCUAAGAAAAAAAAAUACUCCAGUAAGGUCCUCUGUUAUUUACAAAGCUUCCCCUUAGCUGUGUGGCCUGGGGCAAGUCACUCCAGCUCUCUGUGCUUCCGUUUCUCAGCCUGUAAAAUGGGGCCAACAAUAGUGUCUACCUUGUAGGGCUUUUGGGGGAAAGAUGAGUUAAUCCAGGUGAAGGGCUUUGAGCUAGACCUGGCAUGUAACACAGUGGUACACACCUGCGGCCCCAGCUCCUCAGCCUCCCAAGUAGCUGGGAUUACAGGCAUAUGCCACCACAUCCGGCUAAUUUUUGUAUUUUUAGUAGAGACAGCGUUUCACCAUGUUGCCCAGGCUGGUCUUGAACUCUUGACCUCAAGCGAUCCGCCCGCCUCAGCCUCCCAAAGUGCUGGGAUUACAAGCAUGCGCCACAGCGCCCGGUCUAGACCAUGACUUUUAUAUGAGAGAAAGAGAAGCCCAUUGGGCCGGGUGUGGUAGCUCACGCCUGUAAUCCCAGCACUUUGGGAGGCCGAGGUAGGCAGAUCACCUGAGGUCAGGAAUUCAAGACCAGCCUGGCCAACAUGGUGAAACCCCGUCUCUACUAAAAAUACAAAAAUUAGCCGGACACAGUGGCGGGCGCCUGUAAUCCCAGCUAUUUGGGAGGCUGAGGCAGGAGAAUUGCUUAAACCCGGGAGGCAGAGGUUGCAGUAAGCCGAGAUUGUGCCACUGCACUCCAGCCUGGGCGAAAGAGUGAGACUCCAUCUC